rnacentral:rRNA from 1 species
UUCAGAGGGGGACAACAGUUGGAAACGACUGCUAAUACCGCAUACGAUCUAAUCUCGGCAUCGAGGAUAGAUGAAAGGUGGCCUCUACAUGUAAGCUAUCACUGAAGGAGGGGAUUGCGUCUGAUUAGCUAGUUGGAGGGGUAACGGCCCACCAAGGCGAUGAUCAGUAGCCGGUCUGAGAGGAUGAACGGCCACAUUGGGACUGAGACACGGCCCAGACUCCUACGGGAGGCAGCAUG